UUGGCCGUCUUCAUUGUGCCUCUCCUAUCUUUGCUUUCCCAUUCCAUUUCCUUUCCUUUUGCUUUUCUGCGGCAUUUCGUCGAGCAGAAACCAUGAUCAGAUUGUUUAAAGUGAAAGAAAAGCAAAAGGAAACAGCUGAAAACGCAAAGGAGAAUGGUCUCGUAAAGAAGCAAAGUGCAGGAGAAUUGCGUCUUCAUAGAGAUAUAAGUGAGUUGAACAUGCCAGAAGAAUGCAAGAUUUCAUUCCCCAAUGGAAAGGUUGAUUUGAUGGACUUUGAGAUUACCAUUACACCUUAUCGGGGAUAUUAUAUGGGUAGUGGGUUUGUCUUCACGUUUAAAGUUCCCGCAGUCUACCAUCAUGAGCCUCCGAAGGUCAAGUGCAAAACCAAGAUCUACCAUCCCAACAUCGACUUAGAAGGAAACACUUGCCUUAACAUUCUUCGGGAAGACUGGAAACCUGUCUUAAAUAUAAACACUGUUAUUUACGGAUUGUAUCACCUAUUCACGGAACCUAACCAUGAGGACCCCUUGAAUCAAGAAGCAGCUGAUCUUUUGAGGGACAAUCCAAAAUUGUUUGGUUUGAACGUGAGAAAAUCGAUCGAGGGAAACAUAUGGGUGGGAGGGGCCCAUUUUCCUGGGUGCAAAACGGGUGACUUCUACUGAUUUGGUUUAUCUAGGGUUUUGCUUCUUCGUGGUCCAACCAUGGUUGUAUGAGGUUGAAGGUUUGUAUGUUUUUUGGGUGUUUUCUGCAUUUCAGGUGAGUACUUGGUGGGGGAUUGUCUGGUGGCACAUUUUCAGCCCAUACUUGUAGCAGGAGAGUGUGUAUUAGUGAACCUAACAUCGACUUAGAAGCGGGAGCUGUUGCUGAACCGAAAUCAAAUUCAUCACAGCAGUUGUUGAGAUGCUCAGACAAAAGCGGUGAAAAAUUAUCAAGGUGACACAAAUAAUGGGGAUGAGUUGAUGCGAGCAAAUAGUUGGUACCUAAUUUUGCCCAAAUUCAUCACAAGGUUCAACCAUCACAAAUGUUGGAAGAAGUCAAGUUGAGUAUGCAAGGAACUUCAGAUUGAUAAAAGAGAUUGGGAAGCUAUGUUCAUGAAGGUUGACGACAAAGCAUCGCCGAACACACAAGCUUUUUGUAGGCACAAAUUAAGGAAAGUGACAAGAAGAAGAAAUCUUUUAUGUGAUGAGGCACCUCGAACCUCAGUGAAGACGAACCUAGCAUCACAAAUUGGUUUGGGUACAUAUAAUUAUUAGGUUAUCUUAUUAGAUUUUUAAGAUGUACCCCUUUUUAUUUGAGAAAUAAAAUUUAAUUAUAAUGUUUCA